GGUCUCGUGGCCUAAUGGAUAAGACGUUGGUCUUCGGAACCGAAGUUGUGGGUUUGAGUCCCAUCGAGAUCG
rnacentral:tRNA from 1 species